CAGUAGCGUAUAUUAAAGUUGUUGCAGUUAAAAAGCUCGUAGUUGGAUUUGUGGCUGGAGCGGUUGGCCUUUCUCACGAUUGUGCUGGACUGUCUCCGGCCAUCCUUGGGUGGAAUCUGUGUGGCAUUAAGUUGUCGUGCAGGGGAUGCCCAUCUUUUACUGUGAAAAAAUUAGAGUGUUCAAAGCAGGCUUAUGCCGUUGAAUAUAUUAGCAUGGAAUAAUAAGAUAGGACCUUGGUACUAUUUUGUUGGUUUGCGCACCGAGGUAAUGAUUAAUAGGGACAGUUGGGGGUAUUCGUAUUCCAUUGUCAGAGGUGAAAUUCUUGGAUUUCUGGAAGACGAACUACUGCGAAAGCAUUUACCAAGUAUGUUUUCAUUAA
rnacentral:rRNA from 1 species